CCUACGGGAGGCAGCAGUGAGGAAUAUUGGUCAAUGGACGAGAGUCUGAACCAGCCAAGCAGCGUGAAGGAUGACUGCCCUAUGGGUUGUAAACUUCUUUUAUAAAGGAAUAAAACGAGGCACGUGUGCCCUUUUGCAUGUACUUUAUGAAUAAGGAUCGGCUAACUCCGUGCCAGCAGCCGCGGUAAUACGGAGGAUCCGAGCGUUAUCCGGAUUUAUUGGGUUUAAAGGGAGCGUAGAUGGGUUGUUAAGUCAGUUGUGAAAGUUUGCGGCUCAACCGUAAAAUUGCAAUUGAUACUGGCAGUCUUGAGUACAGUUGAGGUAAGCGGAAUGCGUGGUGUAGCGGUGAAAUGCUUAGAUAUCACGAAGAACCCCGAUUGCGAAGGCAGCUUACUAAACUGUGACUGACAUUGAUGCUCGAAAGUGUGGGUAUCAAACAGGAUUAGAUACCCUUGUAGUC
rnacentral:rRNA from 1 species